GGGGCAGCUUAGAAGAGCCGGAACCCGGGAGAGAGAGAAGCGAAAUGACAUUUCCUCUUUAAAUAGCUGGAGCCCGGGCCCCGUCGAGAAAUGGCCGCGUCGGCAGAUUUAAAUAAGUCUUCCCCAACACCGAAUGGGAUUCCAUCUUCAGACACAGCCAGCGAAGCCAUGGACCCCUUCCAUGCUUGCAGUAUUCUUAAGCAACUCAAAACAAUGUACGAUGAAGGGCAGCUGACAGACAUUGUAGUGGAAGUGGAUCACGGGAAAACAUUUUCCUGUCAUAGAAACGUUCUUGCUGCAAUCAGCCCUUACUUCAGAUCCAUGUUCACUAGCGGCCUUACAGAAAGCACUCAAAAAGAAGUUAGAAUAGUCGGUGUUGAAGCUGAAUCGAUGGAUUUAGUGUUGAACUAUGCCUAUACUUCCAGAAUUGUUCUGACGGAGGCCAAUGUUCAAGCCUUGUUUACUGCAGCUAGCAUCUUCCAGAUUCCCUCCAUCCAAGACCAAUGUGCUAAGUACAUGAUCAGUCAUUUGGACCCACAGAAUUCUAUUGGGGUCUUCAUUUUUGCUGAUCAUUAUGGUCAUCAGGAACUUGGAGAUCGCUCAAAAGAAUACAUUCGUAAAAAAUUCCUGUGUGUCACCAAAGAACAAGAGUUUCUCCAGUUGACUAAAGACCAACUGAUAAGUAUCCUAAACAGUGAUGAUUUAAAUGUAGACCGAGAAGAGCAUGUUUAUGAAAGCAUCGUAAGGUGGUUUGAACAUGAACAGAGUGAAAGAGAAGUGCACCUUCCAGAAAUUUUUGCCAAAUGCAUACGUUUUCCUCUGAUGGAAGACACCUUUGUAGAGAAAAUUCCACCUCAGUUUGCACAGGCUAUAGCCAAAAGCUCUGGGGAAAAGGGACCAUUGAAUACUAAUGGCUGCACGCAGAGACUUGGAAUGACUGCAUCAGAAAUGAUCAUAUGUUUUGAUGCUGCCCACAAACACUCAGGAAAGAAGCAAACAGUGCCUUGUCUAGAUAUAUUCACAGGAAAAGUGUUCAAACUAUGCAAACCACCGAAUGACCUAAGAGAGGUUGGGAUUCUGGUUUCACCGGACAAUGAUAUUUACAUCGCAGGAGGGUACAGGCCAAGCAGCAGUGAGGUAUCCAUUGAUCAUAAGGCAGAAAAUGAUUUCUGGAUGUACGACCAUUCCACCAAUAGGUGGCUAGCCAAACCGUCCUUGCUUCGAGCCAGAAUAGGCUGCAAACUGGUGUACUGCUGUGGGAAGAUGUAUGCAAUUGGAGGGCGUGUUUAUGAAGGUGAUGGGAGAAACUCACUGAAAUCUGUGGAGUGCUAUGACAGCAGAGAGAAUUGUUGGACUACAGUUUGUGCCAUGCCUGUUGCAAUGGAGUUUCACAAUGCUGUGGAGUACAAAGAGAAGAUCUAUGUUUUACAGGGAGAAUUUUUCCUCUUCUAUGAGCCUCAGAAAGACUACUGGGGUUUCUUAACCCCCAUGACUGUGCCUCGAAUCCAGGGCUUAGCAGCUGUAUACAAGAACUCUAUCUACUACAUAGCUGGAACCUGUGGAAAUCAUCAGCGUAUGUUUACUGUAGAAGCCUAUGAUAUUGAACUCAAUAAAUGGACUCGUAAGAAGGACUUUCCAUGUGAUGAGUCCAUAAAUCCAUACCUUAAACUGGUACUUUUCCAGAAUAAACUCCAUUUAUUUGUUCGAGCUACUCAAGUGACCGUUGAAGAACAUGUCUUCAGAACCAGCAGAAAAAAUUCCCUUUAUCAAUAUGAUGACAUCACUGACCAAUGGAUGAAAGUAUAUGAGACCCCAGAUCGGCUCUGGGACCUUGGCCGGCAUUUUGAAUGUGCUGUUGCUAAACUCUAUCCUCAGUGUCUUCAGAAAGUACUUUAACGAAGGGCAGGCCUUAGUGAGCUCACCGGCAUCUCGUACUUAAGGAAACUUAGUCUUUCAAAGAUACAAGAAGUGGUGUCAGUAUUUAAGAAAGCUGAGAGAGUUUAUGCUUGGAGAUGGGUACUCUUAAAGAUGAGGGUAGGGAGGCAUUUCUUUCCAUCUUUGUGAUGUUUUCAUUUCAGUAAGAAAAAGGUAACAAAGUGCAAUUAUCAGCAUUUUUUUUUUCUGGUAUAGAAGUAAUCACAUCAUUCUAGAAUUUUUGUGAUACCAGAUGACUCGACAACUAUGCACUCUUUGAAAAGUGGUUAGGGUAUUAUGGGUUAGAGACAGCUAAAAUAGUUUGAUGUGACUUUUUAUUUUGAAUACGGGUAAAAAUCUGAGGCAAUAUCACUAGGACUUGAGCUGUGACCUCUCCAACAGAGACGCACUAACUUAGACCCUCAUUCUGAAUAUAUGUAUAUUUGUGUACUGUUUUCCAAUGUACUGAGAUUUAAAUGUGUCCUGUUACUAGAGUAGAUUGAAGGAAAAACAAAUCAGUCUAAGAGCUUUUAGUUUGAUUGUUUUAGAGUCCCCAUGUUACUAUAAGUUAAGCUAAAGUUUUAAAAUAGCAGUUUUCUGUUGACAAUUUUUUCAAGUGCUAACACUGUCUCUGUUUUUUUUUUUUUUUAAAUCCUAGAAAGGGCCCAAAAUCACAGGUGGCUGGUGCUUGCAUAAGUUAAUUCAUGUGUAUAGCUAGAUAGAUUUUAAUCAUCUGAGCCUAUGCUUACCUUUCAAAUCGGUAUGUUAGUUUCAUGACUGUAGUACUUUACAUGUUACUCUAGCAUGAUUUCACCAGAUUUUCUACCUACAUGAUGGCAAGAUAUAGCCAGUUAUUGGUCUAACUGGAUUCAGUCUUAGAAUAGUGAAAAGAACACUAUUCUCAUUUUGCACUAACGUGGGCCAUUUUGUCAUUUUACCCCCUUUUCCAUCCUCUACCUGUUCAUUCAUUAUCAGUACAGUGAAAGGUAACUUAUUUCCCUCCUUCACAGAGCAUAAUGUGAAGUUUACACCUACUUUUAAAAUUCUGCUUUCCAGAAACAUAAAAUUCCUGCAGUGGUCUCAUUUAAUGGCUUUUACGUUAUAUAUGACAAAACCUCACCUCAUUUUUUUUUUUUUAUUUUUGCACUUAACAGUUGUGAAUAAUUUUACAUUGAAAAACUUGUUUUAGCUGAAGGUGACUGAAAAGGAAAGGAGUGAAUAGAACCACAGCAUUAUAGGUACGCUAAAUUGUUUCUCAUGUUUAACUGCUGAGUUUCUAAUAGUCAGAAAUAUUGACAGGACAAAGCAACUCAUGUGUUAUCCCUCAGGCAGAUAUUUGGAUCAGUAAUUAGUUUUUACUCUGCCUGGAAAAAUUAAUAAAGGAUAUAAGUAUAGCCCAGAGUCCGUCCCCAACUGGAAUAUUUUGAUUCUCUGAAAGAAAACUAACUGGCAUGGUUUGUACUAAAAACUCUUGCACAAAUCAUAAUGUGAUAACUGUGAAACAAAUUUAAAACAUUGCUUCUUUGCAUUACAUACCUCGUUUUUCAGAAACUUUCCAAACUGCUUGUCACAGCCCUCUACAAGUAGGGAACGUUUCCUGAAGCUGAAUUUCAAGUGGACAAUGUCUAGAGAAUUGACAUUUUAAAAUCUAGUCUUGGGAAACUAGAUGUGUGUGGUCUUAUGGCCUUGGUAGUAUGUCUAUAACCUCUUUAUUGACUUUGUCAACUAAUCAUAUGUUUUUUCUCCCCCGUUUUUUUUUAUCUUCAUGCUCUUUGGGGGCUAUUUCUGUGAGUGUUUUGAAGCAUCUUUACUGUGUUGCAUUGCAAAGGGGAGGAAAAAACAACUCACUGACUUUUCCAAGAGAUGUUCAUGUGAUUUAUUUUUGAGAGCUUUGUGGACUAUCUAAGAUUUCCUGCCAUUUUUAGACAAUCUCCCAUAUUUAUUUAGAAGGAUGUGUUACUUGAAAACAUGACAUUAGAACAUUGAGUUAGCAAUUUCCAUGUGCUGUUUGAUGUAUAGGAAAACAAAGUACUGUGGUUAGUUCUGCAGUCAGUUUACUCUGUUGAUCUGCACAACAGUUGGUCCUUUUGCUCUAACAAUUUAUAUUGAGGGUGUGAAAGUAUAGUGUGUCAAAGCCAAGGUUUAGAAUUUGCUGGGGAAGUAGAAUGUAUCUUGAAUUUUGUAUGAAGCACUAUUUGUUUAAAUUAUAUAGCUGGGAUAUUUCGCCACUUUUAAAGUGAUUUCAGAAGAGGUCCUAGAAAACUAAGAUUAAUGAUAUGUGUGGCUCUGUGUUUAGAUAUUUAAGGUACAUUUGCAUAGUAUGAUGAGAAUAUGAGUAAAAGGCACAAUGGGUACUAUAGAAUUAAAAUAUAGGGUGACAUAUGCCAGCCCCACUUGACUUUGUUUUUUGCAUUUGAAGAAAGUAUGUGGCACUUUCCUAUAUAUUUUUUAUGCAUUGAAAACUGGAUGUGGUAUAAUUAUGCUAAAGGAAAGUAGAAAUUGUAUUCUAUAUUUUCCAUCGUUGUUUUCUUGUUAUCCUACAAAGUUGAUGCCUAAACAUCAAGCUGAUUUCAUUGGUGCAUGAGGAUAAGUGGAUGUGAUUUGCGAGGAAUCAGAUUCCCUAUGUGAAGAAGCUUAAAACGGCAUUCAAUGUUCAGUGCUCAGAUCCUACUUCUGGUGCUGCUGCUCUUAUCUGCCCCUGCCUCUGUUUUUACUGCUGAAGAAACAAAGAAAGUGAAAGGUAAUUGUCAAACAUAUGGAACAAGAACUGUAGCUGUAAAUAAAAGUGCAUUUACGAAUUCUUUCCCAGUCCCCUGUGAGUGGGGGAACCCAGGAGGAUGGCCAGGAUGGUUCUAUUCAAAACCAGAACAUGUUGGUGCUAGGACUGCAGGCGGUUGGAAAGGAAGCCCGUGUGGGAUGUAAAGUCAGUGAGCUCACUUUUGGAAGAGCCACUUCGCAAGUGGUGAUGGGAUAAGUAUGUAUAGAUUGCUGUGCAGAGACAAAGCCUGGAGACAGGAAACCAAAGGAAGGUGAGAGGUCAGACAAAGAUGUGGAUUUGGCAGCCAGCCCAAGGCUGAGCAGAACUGGAGCCCCGAGAAAUGUGAGUGUUCACGGAGGGUGUGUGGAGAAGGGGAUGUGGGGAAAAGCCAAGCCUUGGAGGGCCCAUGUGAGGCACAGCAAGGGGAAGGGAGCCUUUCUAAGGAGCCAAGAACAGAGAGGUCCUGGGAAAACUGGGAAUGUGGUACUGAGAAAGGAAAGAGGCCACAGUGUCAAGUGCAAACCAGGUGUUCAUAAUAACCACAACUCCUGAAAGGAUGCCUGGAAACUCAGUAAAGCCCUUUGAUCAUUAGUUCAUGGUUAAGUGUAAGUUUUGAAUCUGACUCUGAAAAUUGUUUAUUCUUACAGAACAACCAGAUGAUUUAAUGAAUCAAAACACUGCAUCGCUUAAUUAAUAUACCUCAGAGGACCUUGACUCUGUUUUUUAAUGAAUGUUGCUGGAUUGUCCUCUUAUACCCCUGCACCUCCACUCAAUAUGCUGGUCCUCCUCUGCCCUUGCUCAGAUGUGAAGCCUCCGAAGGCAAGGACCACAUAUCUUGUGCGUUUAAUCUUGAUGUCUGCUGAGCACAGAGCAGGCUGUGUGGGAGACGAGAGUGCCCCAACUAUCUGAUGAACAGAGGUGUGAAAGUCCCUUUCUGACUUACCACGAGUUUCUUUUUUCCUUUCUGGGACUUUCUGACUCCACAUUCCCCCAUUUUGUUUGGAAAGAUACAUUUUCAGGCUUAGCAGUGAUUCGCAAACAUUUUUAUAUGGGGCUUGGCAUUUAAUGUCUGGAAAAGUUGUGAAAUCAAUUUGCCGCAGAUAAAGAUGGACAGAUGGAAAUAUCUGGUGCUUUUCUACACAUGUGCAAUAAGCAUAAUGAGAUCACUGCUUAUUGUGCUAUGCUUGAACUCUGUUUUAGCAGAUUUUAGGAAGAGUACUUUCCUUUGUUUUGGAGCAGGAGCACACUGGCAGAAACACUGCCUCUUGAGUGAAAAGAGCACUGAGUGUGGAAUAUUUGUCAGUAUAGAGAUUUAUACAUUUUUCAUAAACACUUACCAAAUCUCUUUGGAGAAUUUAAACUUCCUUUUUGUUUGAACAAAUGGUACAGCUGCACUGAUUCCAUCUCUGUUAUCAUAUUGUUUUGUGUAGAAGGGGGCUAAGAAAAAAAUAUAAUGAACAGAGAUAGGAGAAGGGGAAGGGAACUGAUUUUUUUUAACUACAUGUGGGAGCCCAUCUUGGAAAUUAAGAAUCUGUGUGAAGCAAGAAGGAAGCUGCAAAACUUUAAUAUUGUAACUCAGAUAUAUGGGGGAUAAUAAUUUCAUUAUUUUGAAUAUAAUCAAUCAGGCUAUCCUUCUGGGUGAGUGGGGGGAAAUCGAUAACAUGUCCACUUUCAUUUAAAACUAAGUUUGAUCCAAUAAAUUUAUCAAUUCCCUUUUAGGAGUCUUCAGUUUCCUGGACAAACACACUUGGUUUCAGUUCUGCCUGACAAGGCUGUCCUACCAAGUCAGAGUGGCCAAGCCCCGGGUUGGUGUGGAGACAGCCAGGGGAUAAUCUUGUCCAGCAUUCUAAACAAGGAUGAGGGCUAGCUCUGCUCUUGAUGUUGCUACCACAUUUUCAUGCAUCCUCUCUUCUCUUUGAGAAGAAAAUAAUGACAGAGUCAUUUGAAGCACACAGUUUUUUUCCUUGCUGUGAACAUCUUCCAUAGAGAUCCAAAUUAAAUCUAUUGGCAGACAACCUGAUCCCCUAAGUUGUUUCUGAUUUGGGGUCAACCAAUUGAAUGUGGACAGGGAAAACUCACAUUCAAAGAAGAGGAACAUGAAGAAUGGAAUAACCUUGGGAUCUAAGCUUUGUACAAAGAAAAAGAGAGUGAGAGAGAGAAAGAGAAGGAAAAAAAUUAUGACAAGGGACUUGUAGAUAAUGAAAACAUGGCAGAAGAAUUACUCCAUGAAACAAAAGAAAAUUUCAAAUACAUGCAAAUCUCUAUUCUCAUAUUAAUUGAAGAAAAAAAAAUAGGCCAAAGAAGUGAUAAGGAGAACUUACUAAAGAAAUGGGAGCUAUUCAAGUCAUUGCAGAAAGGAGCAUUAGAAGAAACACAGGCAGAAGAGACUGUUGAAAACAAAGGCAGGACCACAGAGAAAGACUUCAGAAAAUCACUUCUGAAAAUCACAUAGCUAUCCUUUCAUAUUGAUAUAUGCAAAAUUCAACACAUAACGUGAAUAAAAAUACUC